rnacentral:rRNA from 1 species
CGGACGGGUGAGUAACACGUGGGCAACCUGCCUGUAAGACUGGGAUAACUCCGGGAAACCGGAGCUAAUACCGGAUACUAUGUCAAACCGCAUGGUUUGACAUUCAAAGACGGUUUCGGCUGUCACUUACAGAUGGGCCCGCGGCGCAUUAGCUAGUUGGUGAGGUAACGGCUCACCAAGGCAACGAUGCGUAGCCGACCUGAGAGGGUGAUCGGCCACACUGGGACUGAGACACGGCCCAGACUCCUACGGGAGGCAGCAGUAGGGAAUCUUCCGCAAUGGACGAAAGUCUGACGGAGCAACGCCGCGUGAGUGAUGAAGGUUUUCGGAUCGUAAAACUCUGUUGUCAGGGAAGAACAAGUGCCGGAGUAACUGCCGGCGCCUUGACGGUACCUGACCAGAAAGCCACGGCUAACUACGUGCCAGCAGCCGCGGUAAUACGUAGGUGGCAAGCGUUGUCCGGAAUUAUUGGGCGUAAAGCGCGCGCAGGCGGUUUCUUAAGUCUGAUGUGAAAGCCCCCGGCUCAACCGGGGAGGGUCAUUGGAAACUGGGAAACUUGAGUGCAGAAGAGGAGAGUGGAAUUCCACGUGUAGCGGUGAAAUGCGUAGAGAUGUGGAGGAACACCAGUGGCGAAGGCGACUCUCUGGUCUGUAACUGACGCUGAGGCGCGAAAGCGUGGGGAGCGAACAGGAUUAGAUACCCUGGUAGUCCACGCCGUAAACGAUGAGUGCUAAGUGUUAGAGGGUUUCCG